rnacentral:rRNA from 1 species
GACGAACGCUGGCGGCGCGCUUAACACAUGCAAGUCGAACGGAAAGGCCUGCUUUCCCUUGUGGAUUGCGGGUACUCGAGUGGCGAACGGGUGAGUAACACGUGAGUGAUCUGCCCCCAACUUGGGUAUAAGCCUGGGAAACUGGGUCUAAUUCCCGAUAGGACUGCAGGGUGGUGCCGGUGGUGGAAAACGAUUUUCUAGUGGUUGGGGAUGAGCUGGCGGCCUAUCAGCUGGUUGGUGGGGUAAUGGCCUACCAAGGCGGGGACGGGUAGCCGGCCUGGGAGGGUGGACGGCCACAGUGGGACUGAGAUACGGCCCAGACGCCUACGGGAGGCAGCAGUGGGGAAUAUUGCACAAUGGGCGGAAGCCUGAUGCAGCGACGCCGCGUGGGGGAUGACGGCCGUCGGGUUGUAAACUCCUUGCGACCGAGAGGAAGCCACCUGGUUGGAAGGGUGGUGACGGUAGUGGUAGAAGAAGCACCGGCUAACUACGUG